rnacentral:sRNA from 1 species
ACAGCUUGGACAAAAGUCUAUAGCCAGUGCAUUCCUAGCUCCCCUUACACUAAAGCAGGCUGAGGCAGAGGGGAAGACAUGUUAGUCUUGUGCUCUUCUAGUUGCUAAAGCGCAGAGCUGCCGGGCUGUGGGAGUCAUGAGGCGGCCCU